rnacentral:snRNA from 1 species
GAGGAGGGAGAUUCCAUGAUCACUAAGGUGGUUUUCCCAGGAUGAGACUUAGCCAUUGAACUCCAGAUGUGCCCAGGAUGAGACUUAGCCAUUGAACUCCAGAUGUGCUGACUCCUGUAAUUUCUUCAAAUGUGGGAAACUUGACUGUGUAAUUUGUGGUAGUGGGGGACUGAAUUUGUGCUCUCCUCUA